CAUAAUUGAAAUAAAUUGAUCAUAAUUGGCCAUUUGAUUGUCAAUCGGCUGAAAUUUAAACAAUUGAUUAAAAUCUUAACAAUUAAGCUAUUUGACAAAUAGCCUAAUUUCUACUCUCGCCUAAAUCAAUAACCCAACCCUUUUUUUUUUUCUAAAAUUGGGCCAGAUGAUCCAGCCAUCCACUAGCCCACUCCAGUGGCCCAAAAUCGAACCAUUCCAUUCCCUUGCUCCAUUUCCCUAUUACACAACACCAGCAAUAUCCACCGACCAAAAACAACAAUUUCAACUUAACAUCCAUCUACAACAUCAACAUCAACAUCGACAACAACUUCAACUCGAUAACCAGGGUCAAAACUCUAGCAAUAUCAACGAUCUCGACCAGAACCCGCAACAACUUCAGCAGACAACAGUUUCUCCAACCCGAUUUCAACCCAAAAAUGACGAACCCAACCCGCCAAAUGUUUCAAUAUCACGUAAACAACAGCUUCAACGACACCUCAUCCAUUUUCUUUAAAUUAUCAAAUUUGAAAUUCAAAUCUGUAUGAAAAUUGUAUAAUUUCUAGCUCACUCAACAAACCUUAUCCUUUCUUGAAUUCAAAUUUCCCCAAAAGACCUCAAAAACCCCUCCCCCACACCAAAAAUUAUUGAAGAAAUUAGGGAUUUUGGGUUCUAUAUAAACCCUCCCCACUUCACUGUUGUAAAGGGCUUUCCGAAGGAAAAAAAAGUUAAAAAUUCUCUUUACUCAUCUAGGAUUUUGGACUUCAGUCCCCAGCCUUAGAGUGGUGAGAAUUCUAAAAUCACGUUUCAUUUUUCGUUACUCCUUUUCGAGUCAAGGGGAAUGGUGAAGGCGUGGUCGAUUUGUCGUCCCGGUUUGCUAUUCCCGAAAAGGUGAAAGCUUAAUCUCUUUUGCAUUUUUUCUCUCCCUUUGUUACAAUAAAAAUCUGAAUCUCAGUUGUAACAAUUAGAAUGGGGUUUGCUCUUGUACGAAAUGUCCUAUGUUUGGAUGAAUAGCUGUGUUCAAAUUCAAUUGGUUUGGAAUUUCGUUAAUACUUGAAUAUGUGAGUCUGUUUGGGUAUUUGUGUGUUUAUAACACAUGGAAUUGUUGCACUACUUGUGUUUGUUGUGAGUUAAAUUUGUUUGGGAUUGCUGUUUUAAUCCUUGAAAUCCUUCUUAAAAACUCUUAACAAGUACAACUUUGGUGGUUGAUUCUGGAUUAUUCUGUUUUUAGUUAUUCAUUUUUGGGUUUAUUUGAUUUUGUUAUGGUGAGAUGAUAUGUCACGAAUCAGUUUUACUCGAGCCCAAUCUUCUAAUCUCCACGCUUUGUGACUAUUUGACCUUUUACCUUUGCAUUCGAGCAUUAUCUAGUCAAGCCUCACCCAAAGUCCAAAAUGGACUAGCACAUGAAAAAAUCGGACUGAUAUAUGCAGAUGUACAGUAGUAUACAAUAGUAUACAACAGUAAAUGAAGGCAAGCAAUGAAGAUAUUAGUUUUAUACACUGAUAUACAAUGUUUACACAAAAACGCUACAGCAACGAGGCUGAUAUACAUUCAGUAUACAACUGAUAUACAUAGCUGAAAAUGGACUAAAAAGGGUCCAUUAAAAUAGGCCCAAAGGCUGUCCAGAUUUAACGUGGGCUAGAAAGGGGCCCAAAUCUCUACUUUCCUUCCUUAUUUGCUUGUAGUUAAUUUAAUUAUUUGUUUGUUUGUUUGUAAUUUAAUUUAAUCUAGAUGAAUCCUCAGAGAUCAAAUUAUAUUGAAAUUAUUCGUUUAUGUUGGUUAUUUAAUAUUUUUAAUUUUUAAUUCCUUUAUUUUAGAUAAACUUAAGUUUGAGGAAUAACUUGAGGAUCUACUUAUAUCCUUUUGUAGUAAUUGUCGACUCAAAAUCCAUGUUUAAGAAGUUGGGUUAAUUCUUUAGCCUAAAGUCUUAAUUCGGAUAAACUUAUUAAAGUUGAAAUUAUUUUGAAACUUUUGUUCAUUUUAUCACUUAGAAUAAAUUCAAUGGAUUAGUAUCAAAUAAACUCUAUUGUUUUGAAAUAAGGUCUUUAAAAUAAAUUCAAGAUUUUUAAUAAGAUUUUUUCAAAUAACUUAAGAUUUUUUUUUUUUUCAAAAUUAGCCACAUAAAUUUAAUCCUUCGGGAUCCACGCUUUGUGGAUUUUUGAAAGUGUCUAACACCCUCUUUCGAAUUUACUUGAAUCCUUACGUAGACUCUGGUUAUUUUUAAAAGGUUUGCUUUCAAAAUUAUGUUUUUAAAUGGCUUCUUAAUUUUUCUAAAAUUAAAUGACGCCUCUAAAUUAUUUUUUAUAAAUAAAAAAAAUAAAGUUCUCUUAUUUUUUUCGCCACGAAGUUAUGGAUCGUUUUUGUCUUUUCAAAAAUGAAUAGUAAUAAAUGUAUUAAAUGAAGACACAUACAAAGAAUUAUUAUUUAAAAAAUUAAUAAAUAAAUAUACAACUUCGUCAAGCGCCAUGUAGGAUAGGUGCAGCUAAUUGUGAAGUGUGGAUAGGAGCCUGUGUAUGAGUGAACGGGUAUAAAUGCAGUCAUUGUUUUAGUGAGAUGUUAAGGAACUUAGUAGUUAGUUAUGUAUAGUUGAGGUGGAGUGUGCACUGUGAGGUAUUUUAAAGAUGAGAGGAAGAUGAGAGGAAGAGGAGAGGUGACCUAGUUUUUGACUGUUUGAAUUUUUAGAAUUGUUGAUCCCAUUAAUUUAGGUUUUGUGUUCCCAUUAAUAAGUAGGUAGUUAGAUUCGAAAGGGUCAACAUUUAUUCCACAAAUAAAAGCUGCGCGGCUUGGAGAAUCGAACACCCGACCUAAGGAAUAUGAACAUGAUGAUUGACCAAAUUUGGUACUUGAGCUUUCAACAAUCCCAUACGAUAUAAUAAUCAAAGCAUCACCAAAUUUGUCCCAUAUCCCAUUGAAAUAUUAUUUAUUGUAAUUAUUUUAAAUUUGUUAUUGUUGUAGUCAUCAUUAUUAAUUAACUAAGAAUUGGGAUUGUGGAAUCAAUCUACUUUAAUUGUGUUGGCUUGCGAUUUGAUACGAUUAUUUCAAUUCGUAUUAAAUGACUUUUAAUGGAUAUCGUUGAAUAACUUUUUGUUAUGAAUUGCAUUGAUCCUCAAUUUAUCAAUAUUAUAUCAAACUUUAUUAAAUUCACUCAUGACAUGGGAUUAUUGAGUGAAUGUACGUUAUAAAUUGCAUUGAUUAUCAAUUUGUCAAUAUCAUAUCAAACUUUAUUAAAUUCACUCAUGAAAGGAGAUUGUUGAAUGAAUAUACAUUAUGAAUUAUGUUGAUUCUCAAUUUAUCAACAUUAUAUCAAACAUAAUUAAAUUCACUCAUGACAUGGGAUUGUUAAAUUAAUGUACGUUAUGUAUUGCGUUGAUUCUCAAUUUAUCAACAUUAUAUCAAACUUUAUUAAACUCACUUAUGACAUGGGAUUGUUGAAUCAAUAUAUGUUAUGAUUGCGUUGAUUGUCAAUUUGUCAACAUUAUAUCAAACUUUAUUAAAUUCACCCAUGAUACAAAAUUGUUGAAUGAAUGUACGUUAUGAAUUGCGUUGAUUCUCAAUUUAUCAAUAUUAUGCCAAAAAUUUAUUAAAUUCACUCAUGACAUGGGAUUAAUGUACGUUAUGAAUUGCGUUGAUUCUCAAUUUGUCAACAUAUAUCAAAUUUUAUUAAAUUCACUCAUGAUAUGGGAUUGUUGAAUCAAUGUACGUUAUGACUGCGUUGAUUGUCAAUUUGUCAACAUUAUAUCAAACUUUAUUAAAUUCACUCUUGACAUGGUAUUGUUAGAUGAAUGUACAUUAUGAAUUGCAUUGGUUCUCAAUUUAUCAAUAUUUUAUCAGACAUUAUUAAAUUUGACUUAUGACUUGGGAUUGUUGAAUCAAUGUAUGUCAUGACUUUCGUUGAUUGUCAAUUUGUCAACAUUAUAUCAAAAUUUAUUUAUUGGCUUCAAAUGGUAAUUUUUGAAUCAAUCUUCUCAAUAAAUUGAGUUGAUUAUCAUUUUGACCCAAUCAUUCAGACUUUAUUAAUUCUUUGUAGUAGUAAUUGUUGAAUCAAUCUAUGUUGAAUCAAUGUACGUUAUAAAAUAUGUCGAAUUGCAAUAUAUCAAUAUUUUAUUAAAAGUUAUUAAAUUCAGUCAUGACAGGAAAUUGUUGAAUUAAUCUAUGCAACAAAUUGUGUUGAUUGUCAAUUUGACCAGAUUAAUCAAAAUUCUCUUAUAAUGUUAAUUUUUGAAUCAAUCUACUUUAUGAAUUACGUCGAUUCAAAAUUUAUCAAUAUUAUAUGAAAACUUACUAAGUUCAGUCAUGACAGGGGAUUGUUGAAUCAAUCUACGUGAAAAAUUGUGUUGACUGUCAAUUUGACUCAAUUAUGUAGAUAUUAUUAAUUCUCUUAUAAUGAUAAUUAUUGAAUUAAUCUACGCUAUUAAUUUCAUUGAUUGCUAAUUAACAACAUUAUAUCAAACUUUAUUAAAUUCACUCAUGACAGGGGAUUGUUGAAUUGCAUCUACACUCCGAAUUGUGUUGAUUGUCCAUUUAACGUGAUUAUUCAAACUCUAUUAAAUGACUUCAAAUGAAAAUUGUCGAAUCAAUCUACAUUAUAAAUUGUGUUGAUUCUCAAUUUGUCAAUAUUAUAUCAAACUUUAUUAUAUAAUAGGGGAUUGUUGAAUUGCAUCUAUGCAAGGAAUUGUGUUGAUUGUUGUCAAUUUGGUGCGAUUGUUAAACUCUAUUAAUUGACUUGAAAUGAAAAUUGUUGAAUCAAUCUAAGUUAUGAAUUGCUUUCAUGCUCAAUUUAUCAAUAUUAUAUUAAACAUUAUUAAAUUCACUCAUUAUAGGAGAUUGUUGAAUCAAUCUACAUUUUGAAUUGCGAGAAUUUUCAAUUUGUCAACAUUACGUCAAACUUUAUCAAUUGACGUGUAAUGAAAAAAUUUAAAUUAACCUACAUUAUGAAUUGCAUUGAUUUACAAUUUGUUAACUUUAUGUGAAAAUUUAUUAAACUCACUCAUGACAGGGGAUUGUUGAAUCAAUGUAUGCAACAAAUUGUAUUGAUUAUCAAUUAGACUUGAUUAUUUAGACUAUGUUAAUUCACCCAAUUGCUAAUUAUUUAACUGUAUUUCAUGUCAAAAAAUAACAAUGGAGUUUGAAAGACGCACUAUUUUAUCUAAAUGCCCUUUGAUUAUGUUGUGAAAAAGCAUUCCAACUUUAUUUAUAGACUACUUCAUAAUUUUACGAUUCUUUGGCAUCACAGGUUUAUCAAACUUUAUCUUCUUCUUCUAAUUUAUUUCCUAUGUCGUUAUUGUUUUAAUUUUUUUUGUUUUUAUCAAAAAUGAAAUGAAAAAGGUCGGAGGAGAACGACAAUGCUUUGCGAGAGAAGACCAUGGAGCAACAUUUGACGGAUGUUGGCAAACAUUACUUGAAUGACCUAUUUAUGUUGCAAAAAAUGUCGAUCGUGAAAGUCCUAGUAGAGACGGGUGGAUGAGAUUAAAGCGAUGACAAGGUCAAAUAUCGAUACGGGCAUGUUGAUGUUGCUGAAGUGCAACCACCUCCACCCAUCCCCCUCCUAAUGAAGAUCAAUGUCUAAUUUCUUACAAGAAAUUCCAUUGUUCGAACUCUUUUAUGAA
rnacentral:lncRNA from 1 species